rnacentral:rRNA from 1 species
CUCCCCCGUUGCUGACCCCAGGGUUCGAUAGCGCCAAUUAGGCGCCACCUCGCCAAGAACCAGCUUCGGUGAAGCGACGGGCGGUGUGUGCAAAGGGAG